UACGUAGGGAGCAAGCGUUGUUCGGAUUUACUGGGCGUAAAGGGCGCGUAGGCGGCAUGACAAGUCACUUGUGAAAUCUCUGGGCUUAACCCAGAACGGCCAAGUGAUACUGUCGCGCUAGAGUGCGGAAGGGGCAAUCGGAAUUCUCGGUGUAGCGGUGAAAUGCGUAGAUAUCGAGAGGAAUACCUGAGGUGAAGACGGGUUGCUAGGCCGGCACUGACGCUGAGGAGCGAAAGCGUGGGGAGCAAACAGG
rnacentral:rRNA from 1 species